AUUGAACGCUGGCGGCAGGCCUAACACAUGCAAGUCGAGCGGAUGAAGGGAGCUUGCUCCUGGAUUCAGCGGCGGACGGGUGAGUAAUGCCUAGGAAUCUGCCUGGUAGUGGGGGAUAACGUCCGGAAACGGGCGCUAAUACCGCAUACGUCCUGAGGGAGAAAGUGGGGGAUCUUCGGACCUCACGCUAUCAGAUGAGCCUAGGUCGGAUUAGCUAGUUGGUGGGGUAAAGGCCUACCAAGGCGACGAUCCGUAACUGGUCUGAGAGGAGGAUCAGUCACACUGGAACUGAGACACGGUCCAGACGCCUACGGGAGGCAGCAGUGGGGAAUAUUGGACAAUGGGCGAAAGCCUGAUCCAGCCAUGCCGCGUGUGUGAAGAAGGUCUUCGGAUUGUAAAGCACUUUAAGUUGGGAGGAAGGGCAGUAAGUUAAUACCUUGCUGUUUUGACGUUACCAACAGAAUAAGCACCGGCUAACUUCGUG
rnacentral:rRNA from 1 species